GGCUCAGGGUGUGCGUUCCCCUCUGCUGAGGCAGAGCUCCAGUGAACAGUGCAGCAAUCUUUCGUCAGUUCGACGCAUGUACAAGGAGAGUAAUUCUUCCUCCAGUCUUCCAAGUCUUCACACUUCCUUCUCUGCCCCUUCCUUCACUGCCCCCUCUUUCCUGAAAAGCUUUUACCAGAAUUCAGGUAGACUGUCCCCACAGUAUGAAAAUGAAAUCAGUGAUGGAGAAGGGAGAAAAAGGACCUCAUCUACCUGCAGCAAUGAGUCCCUAAGUGUGGGAGGAACCUCUGUCACUCCUCGCCGGAUCUCCUGGCGGCAGCGCAUUUUCCUCAGGGU
rnacentral:lncRNA from 1 species